UAUAACACUGCAAUGUUGCAUGGACUGAGAUUUCCACAAACGGGCUGCUGAUAUUAACAAAAAUGCUAAGUUCAUUAUAUAGUAUGCAAAUCAGACACUCCCUGUUCUCAGAAGCUACUGGAUGUGUUGUGAUUAUCAACAAACUGGCU